rnacentral:rRNA from 1 species
UAAGGUGGUUAUAGCGUUGGGGAUCCACCUCUUCCCAUUCCGAACAGAGAAGUUAAGCCCAAUUGCGCCGAUGGUACUGCGAAACCAUGUGGGAGAGUAGGUAGCCGCCGUUU